AGCGAACGCUGGCGGCAGGCUUAACACAUGCAAGUCGAACGGGCACUUCGGUGUCAGCGGCUGACGGGUGAGUAACACGUGGGAACGUACCCUUCGGUUCGGAAUAACGCUGGGAAACUAGCGCUAAUACCGGAUACGUCCCUCUGGUGAAAGGUUUACUGCCGAAGGUUCGGCCCGCGACUGUUUAGCUAGUUGGUGGGGUAAUGGCCUACCAAGGCUAGGCUCAUUAGCUGGUCUGAGAGGAUGAUCAGCGACACUGGGACUGAGACACGGCCCAGACUCCUACGGGAGGGAGGAGUGGGGAAUAUUGGACAACGGGCGCAAGGAUGAUGGAGCCAGGCCGGGUGAGUGAUGAAGGUGUGAGGGUUGUAAAGCAGGUUUGUACGGGACGAUAAUGACGGUACCGGAAGAAUAAGCACCGGCUAACUUCGUG
rnacentral:rRNA from 1 species